AAAUGGACUCUGAAUGCCAAGGUUCCUCUCAGCUCUCCGGUGCUGGGAUUCAGUGUAACUCUCCCUGAAUUCCUCCGCCAUCGUGUGAGCCAUUUAAAAAUGAUGGAUUCUUCCAGGAGGAGCGAUGUCUCUUUAACUAGAAUCGUCAAGGUUUGAAAACAUUUAGGAUCAUAUGAAAUUUUGGAUUACUUUGCUCUCCAGUAUCUGUCCUGAAGAGAUAAAUGUGACAGACGGCUGUUUAUUCUAUGAAAUGAAAAUGACAUCCCCGGCUGGGCGUGGUGACUCAAGUCUGUAAUCCCAGCACUUUGGG